rnacentral:rRNA from 1 species
GACGAACGCUGGCGGCGUGCUUAACACAUGCAAGUCGAACGCUGAAGCUUGGUGCUUGCACUGGGUGGAUGAGUGGCGAACGGGUGAGUAAUACGUGGGUAACCUGCCCUUGACUCUGGGAUAAGCCUGGGAAACUGGGUCUAAUACUGGAUACGACAUGUCACCGCAUGGUGGUGUGUGGAAAGGGUUUUACUGGUUUUGGAUGGGCUCACGGCCUAUCAGCUUGUUGGUGGGGUAAUGGCUCACCAAGGCGACGACGGGUAGCCGGCCUGAGAGGGUGACCGGCCACACUGGGACUGAGGCACGGCCCAGACUCCUACGGGAGGCAGCAGUGGGGAAUAUUGCACAAUGGGCGGAAGCCUGAUGCAGCGACGCCGCGUGAGGGAUGACGGCCUUCGGGUUGUAAACCUCUUUCAGCACGGAAGAAGCGAAAGUGACGGUACGUGCAGAAGAAGCGCCGGCUAACUACGUG